GGAGCGGAGUAGCUUGGUUUAGUUGAGAGAGCAGCUGCUGCUGGGGACGUUCUCUGACUCUGCCUGCCUGCCGUUUGCCCACCACACUGCCCUCUGGCUGCCUUUUAUUCUUCUGUUGUGCAUUAACAAAAAAUGGCAGCCCUCUGAAGACUAACAGGAAGUCCAAGGAGAUGCUGAGCAGGAAACUAGUCCUCGCCACCCCGAAGAUGGAUGGCAGCUGUACAUCAUUGUCUCGGAAGGGUCCUGGCCACUCAGACUGUUCCUUAAAGAUCUAUAACAUAUCUGCAUGCUAAACGAACCAUGCCAGCACAGCGGCUGACCACGCCAGGAACUCCUGCUGACAACACCCCUGGAGGACCCCCUGGACCUGGAGAAGACCCUCCGUCGUCAAGGACCUACGUCCAGAGGCUGCAAUUGGCAGAAGAAGACUGGCACGGCCCUGCCAGCCACACGCAAAAUGAGGCUGGGAUCUGUCCCUCCCUUGGACCUUUUGGACAUUCCUCUCAUUGAACUCUCUACCCAAACCCGUAGGAACUCGCGUACAGUGCUAUAUUCUCUCUACCAUUGCAACCACACAUUUGUUAGUACGCGGCCGUGUUUUAUCGGGAAAUUCUAUUCACUGUUGCUUUUGUAAACCAUAUGUUAAACAUUCUCUAAUAAAAGUCUAUCAGUUGGGGAGGGGGGGUCACAGAAUAGAAUCAGAGAGAGGGGAGCUUUUACCCUUCCCCCCACCACAUCCUGAUUUGGAUUGCUCUCCCCGUGGCUGCUAUUCCCUGCUCUCCCCUUGCCCACUCUUAAUCAGGGACCAUCACUACUAUUUCAGCUUGAAACAACCACCACUUAGAGCCAAAUUAUGCAUUUAAUGUAACAUAUCAUUUGGCCUUUAGGCACACCUUCAUUUUCCAUGUUAGUUCCAUUGGUGCUUUCUUCAUUAGCAUCAAUGCUAACAAUUCAAUCUUUCAAUUGUUGUAAAGAAAACAUAGAGCACAAGUCAAAAGUUCCCUUUUAAAAGUAACAAAUCUUCUGUGAGAAAGCCAUAAUGUUGUUGUUUGGGAUCAGAUUUUGAAGAAACACAAAGAACUGCCCAUUUGCCACACUUUUUUUUUUAAACAAAAUAUGAGAAGCUAAAAUAGGUAACAAGAACAGAUUAAAGACUCCAUUUAUUA